rnacentral:rRNA from 1 species
AUUGAACGCUGGCGGCAUGCCUUACACAUGCAAGUCGAACGGCAGCACGGGGCAACCUGGUGGCGAGUAGCGAACGGGUGAGGAAUGCAUCGGAACGUACCUUUCAGUGGGGGAUAACGUAGCGAAAGUUACGCUAAUACCGCAUAUUCUGUGAGCAGGAAAGCAGGGGAUCGCAAGACCUUGCGCUGAUUGAGCGGCCGAUGUCAGAUUAGCUAGUUGGUGAGGUAAAGGCUCACCAAGGCGACGAUCUGUAGCGGGUCUGAGAGGAUGAUCCGCCACACUGGAACUGAGACACGGUCCAGACUCCUACGGGAGGCAGCAGUGGGGAAUUUUGGACAAUGGGGGCAACCCUGAUCCAGCCAUGCCGCGUGAGUGAAGAAGGCCUUCGGGUUGUAAAGCUCUUUCGGCCGGGAAGAAAUCGCACGGGCUAAUACCCUGUGUGGAUGACGGUACCGGAAUAAGAAGCACCGGCUAACUACGUGCCAGCAGCCGCCGUAAGAC